rnacentral:rRNA from 1 species
AUGACACCAAUGAUGCAGGUUUGCAUUGUUGCAAGAGGAUAUUCUUUUAUGGGUUCAACCGUUGUUGUAGAGAUGGCUGAAAGGACGGUCUUUGUUGCUGGGGGAAUGAUCGUUGCGGUUGUUGGGGCUGCGGGAAUUGUUGUUGGGGCUGGGGAAAAGGUUGUUGUGGUUGCUGGAACUGGGGAAAUGGUUGUUGUGGUUGUUGAGUCUGGGGGAAUGGUUGUUGUGGUUGCUGGGGAAAUGGUUGUUGUGGUUGUUGGGGGAAUGCUUGUUGGGGCUGGAGAAAUGGUUGUUGUGGUUGCUGAGGCUGGGGAACUUGUUGUUGUGGUUGAUGGGGGAAUGUUUGUUGGGGUUGGGGAAAUGCUUGUUGUGGUUGCUAGGAUAAUGGCUCUUGGGGCUGGGGGACUAGUUGUUGUUGUGACCAUUGUAUUUGGCCGCUAG